AUUGAACGCUGGCGGCAUGCCUUACACAUGCAAGUCGAACGGUAACAGGGAGCUUGCUCCGCUGACGAGUGGCGAACGGGUGAGUAAUGUAUCGGAACGUACCUUUCAGUGGGGGAUAACGUAGCGAGAGUUACGCUAAUACCGCAUAUUCUGUGAGCAGGAAAGCAGGGGACCUUCGGGCCUUGCGCUGAUUGAGCGGCUGAUAUCAGAUUAGCUAGUUGGUGAGGUAAAGGCUCACCAAGGCGACGAUCUGUAGCGGGUCUGAGAGGAUGAUCAGCCACACUGGACCUGAGACACGGUCCAGACUCCGACGGGAGGCAGCAGUGGGGAAUUUUGGACAAUGGGGGCAACCCUGAUCCAGCCAUGCCGCGUGAGUGAAGAAGGCCUUCGGGUUGUAAAGCUCUUUCGGCCGGGAAAAAAUCGCAUGGGCUAAUACCCUGUGUGGAUGAUGGUACCGGAAUAAGAAGUACCGGCUAACUACGUGCCAGCAGCCGCCGUAA
rnacentral:rRNA from 1 species